UACGGAAGGGGGCUAGCGUUGCUCGGAAUUACUGGGCGUAAAAGGAGCGUAGGCGGACAUUUAAGUCAGGGGUGAAAUCCCGGGGCUCAACCUCGGAAUUGCCUUUGAUACUGGGUGUCUUGAGUAUGAGAGAGGUGUGUGGAACUCCGAGUGUAGAGGUGAAAUUCGUAGAUAUUCGGAAGAACACCAGUGGCGAAGGCGACACACUGGCUCAUUACUGACGCUGAGGCUCGAAAGCGUGGGGAGCAAACAGG
rnacentral:rRNA from 1 species